rnacentral:rRNA from 1 species
UACGUAGGGUGCAAGCGUUGUCCGGAAUUAUUGGGCGUAAAGAGCUCGUAGGCGGUUUGUCGCGUCGGCUGUGAAAACCUGGGGCUCAACUCCGGGCCUGCAGCCGAUACGGGCAGGCUAGAGUUCGGUAGGGGAGACUGGAAUUCCUGGUGUAGCGGUGAAAUGCGCAGAUAUCAGGAGGAACACCGGUGGCGAAGGCGGGUCUCUGGGCCGAUACUGACGCUGAUGCGCGAAAGCCAGGGGAGCGAACGGG